rnacentral:rRNA from 1 species
AUUGAACGCUGGCGGCAUGCUUUACACAUGCAAGUCGAACGGUAACAGGCCGCAAGGUGCUGACGAGUGGCGCACGGGUGAGUAAUGCAUCGGAACGUGCCCAGUCGUGGGGGAUAACUACUCGAAAGAGUAGCUAAUACCGCAUACGAUCUAUGGAUGAAAGCGGGGGACCGUAAGGCCUCGCGCGAUUGGAGCGGCCGAUGUCAGAUUAGGUAGUUGGUGGGGUAAAGGCUCACCAAGCCAACGAUCUGUAGCUGGUCUGAGAGGACGACCAGCCACACUGGGACUGAGACACGGCCCAGACUCCUACGGGAGGCAGCAGUGGGGAAUUUUGGACAAUGGGCGCAAGCCUGAUCCAGCAAUGCCGCGUGCAGGAAGAAGGCCUUCGGGUUGUAAACUGCUUUUGUACGGAACGAAACGGCUCUGGUUAAUACCCGGGACUAAUGACGGUACCGUAAGAAUAAGCACCGGCUAACUACGUG